rnacentral:rRNA from 2 species
GGAGGUAGUGACAAUAAAUCACAAUGCGGGACUAUACGUCUUGCAAUUGGAUUGAGAACAAUGUACAACUCUUAUCGAUAAGCCAUUGGAGGGCAAGUCUGGUGCCAGCAGCCGCGGUAAUUCCAGCUCCAAUAGCGUAUAUUAACGUUGUUGCAGUUAAAAAGCUCGUAGUUGAAGUGUGGGUGAUCGCUGUUGUGAGACUUCGGUCUCUCGACAGUAAGUCACCCCCUUCCAGUAUCCAGUAGUGGGUAUUCAGUUACUUACUACUGUGUGUUGGUCCUUUACUGUGAGAAAAUUAGAGUGUUCAAAGCAGGCGUUUGCUUGAAUAGAUUAGCAUGGAAUAAUAAUUGAAGGCUUUCGUGUUCGAUUUGAUUGGUUUGUUCAUGGAAGCAAGGUUAAAAGGAACAGUUGGGGGUAUUCAUAUUCACUAGUUAGAGGUGAAAUUCUCGGAUUUAUGGAAGAUGAACAAGUGCGAAAGCA